rnacentral:rRNA from 1 species
GUUAGGAAUAUUGGACAAUGGGCGCAAGCCUGAUCCAGCCAUGCCGCGUGAGUGAUGAAGGCCUUCGGGUUGUAAAGCUCUUUAGCCGAUGAUUAUAAUGACUGUAGUCGGAAAAUAAGCCCCGGCUAACUUCGUGCCAGCAGCCGCGGUAAUACGAAGGGGGCGAGCGUUAUUCGGAAUCACUGGGCGUAAAGCGUGCGUAGGCGGCUUUGCAAGUUGGGAGUGAAAGCCCAGGGCACAACCCUGGAAUUGCUCUCAAAACUGCAAGGCUCGAAUUCGGGAGAGGAUAGCGGAAUUGUCAGUGUAGCAGUGAAAUGCGUAGAUAUUGACAGGAACACCAGUGGCGUAAGCGGCUAUCUGGACCGAUAUUGACGCUGAGGCACGAAAGCGUGGGGAUCAAACAGGAUUAGAAACCCCGGUAGUCC